rnacentral:rRNA from 1 species
GUUAAAGGCUUUCCAAUGGGAUUAGAUACCCCACUAUAAGAGCAAUAAAACUUAAUCAAAACCCGAGAACUACGAACUAAAGUUUAAAACUCAAAGGACUUGGCGGUUUUCUACACCUAUCUGGAGGAGCUUGCUAUCUAACCGAUAACCCACGUAAAACCUCACCAACUUUUGAUUCCAGCCUGUAUACCAUCGUCGUCAGUCUACCUUUCAAAAGCAGUAUACACAAUGACCUUUUUUCUUAACGCCAGAUCAAGGUGCAGCUUAUAAGUUGGGGAUAAGUGAGCUACUAUAAUUUAACAAAAAAUAAAAAUAUGAAAAAAUGAAUGAAACUUCAUUUAGAAACAGAAUUCAGUAGUAACGGCUAAACAAAUAGAAAAUAACCGUGAAUACUCAGCUCUAGAAUACGCACACACCGCCCGUCACCCCCUUG